GAUGAACGCUGGCGGCGUGCCUAAUACAUGCAAGUCGAGCGAAUGGAUUAAGAGCUUGCUCUUAUGAAGUUAGCGGCGGACGGGUGAGUAACACGUGGGUAACCUGCCCAUAAGACUGGGAUAACUCCGGGAAACCGGGGCUAAUACCGGAUAACAUUUUGAACCGCAUGGUUCGAAAUUGAAAGGCGGCUUCGGCUGUCACUUAUGGAUGGACCCGCGUCGCAUUAGCUAGUUGGUGAGGUAACGGCUCACCAAGGCAACGAUGCGUAGCCGACCGGAGAGGAUGAGCGGCCACACUGGAACUGGGACACGGCCCAGACUCCUACGGGAGGCAGCAGUAGGGAAUCUUCCGCAAUGGACGAAAGUCUGACGGGGCAACGCCGCGUGGGUGAUGAAGGCUUUCGGGUCGAAAAACUCGUUUUUUAGGGAAGAACAAGUGCUAGUUGAAUAAGCUGGCACCUUGACGGUACCUAACCAGAAAGCCACGGCUAACUACGUGCCAGCCGCCGCGGUAA
rnacentral:rRNA from 1 species